rnacentral:rRNA from 1 species
GAUCCUGGCUCAGGAUGAACGCUGGCGGCGUGCCUAAUACAUGCAAGUAGAACGCUGAAGGAGGAGCUUGCUCUUCUGGAUGAGUUGCGAACGGGUGAGUAACGCGUAGGUAACCUGCCUGGUAGCGGGGGAUAACUAUUGGAAACGAUAGCUAAUACCGCAUAACAGUAGAUGUUGCAUGACAUCUACUUGAAAGGUGCAAUUGCAUCACUACCAGAUGG